GGAGUGGUAGCUCAGUUGGUUAGAGCGCCUGCCUGUCACGCAGGAGGUCGCGGGUUCGACCCCCGUCCAUUCCG
rnacentral:tRNA from 1 species